rnacentral:rRNA from 1 species
AUUGAACGCUGGCGGAAUGCUUUACACAUGCAAGUCGAGCGGCAGCGCGGGGCAACCUGGCGGCGAGCGGCGAACGGGUGAGUAAUACAUCGGAACGUGCCCAGACGUGGGGGGAUAACUACUCGAAAGAGUGGCUAAUACCGCAUACGAUCUAAGGAUGAAAGCGGGGGAUCGCAAGACCUCGCGCGUUUGGAGCGGCCGAUGGCAGAUUAGGUAGUUGGUGGGGUAAAGGCUUACCAAGCCCGCGAUCUGUAGCUGGUCUGAGAGGAUGAUCAGCCACACUGGGACUGAGACACGGCCCAGACUCCUACGGGAGGCAGCAGUGGGGAAUUUUGGACAAUGGGCGAAAGCCUGAUCCAGCCAUUCCGCGUGCAGGAUGAAGGCCCUCGGGUUGUAAACUGCUUUUGUACAGAACGAAAAAGACUCUUUCUAAUACAGAGAGUCCAUGACGGUACUGUAAGAAUAAGCACCGGCUAACUACGUGCCAGCAGCCGCGGUAA